CAAUUAACUAUAACAAAUUAUUUCAGGCUUAGUGAAAGACAGGAAAGCUUCAAAAUGACAGCACUUCUACCUAACAAAUUAAAAGACUGUGCUUGAACAUACUUUAUACAGGAAGGGAAAAACAACUUUUGCAGUAAGCUUGCUAAUAAGCAAGUGCCAUAGGGGUUAAAACCAACUGGUAGUUAAUGCCAAAAUGUAGAGCCAGCUUCUAGCAAGCAGGGUAGGAAGUAACACCUUGACCAGCAGUGAAGUCCAAAGCAAUCCUGCCACACACUCAGUGAUGCCUGGAGCUCAUCCCAGUUCAAUUGCAUCAGCUGUACUUGGGAUGGGGAGGGAACAAGGGUUGUAUCAGCACAAUAAAAUCACAGCAGGUUGGCUUUCCUUCCCUGAUUUUGAUCCCAUUUCCACAUGGACAAGAGGACAGCAAGAUUGCAAUCUUAUAGAGUUCUAUAUGUGUUGCCCAAAAGAAAAAAAUAUUGUCCAAACUAAUUCUGAAAAUAAUUUGUUGAGAACACAAAGGUCACGUAGAAAUAGCUUAGUAGCACAAGUUUAUGUUUUCAAAGCCUUCAUUUGGAGUUUACAAUUUCUGUCCUGUUAAAACAGAGCACACUAUUUCUUUCCAGUUGAUGCAAUCUUUACAUGAGAUUAAGCAUAAGCAAACAAAAAGUGAACAGUGGUGGCAGUGGGAAGAGCUCUGAAGAGUAUAACACCCAGUGUGCAGCUUCCUUCACCAAGUGCUGGCUGGACCCCACAACUCCUCGCCAAGCCAACAGACAAUGACCUGACCUCAGUUAUUUGAGCCUCCACCACCUUGGCCUUGGCUAGAUGAUACAUCUUGGGCAAGAGACCUGCAGCACUCUGGUGGCUCCAGCUAGCCAGGAAGACAGCAGAUCUCUUCCUCCGCAACAGAAGCUAUUGCAAGCACAACCCACUGGUUUUAGGAUUUCUCCAGCAGCUUCCCACAGAAUGAUGAAUGUGUUAAGUUUUACUGUGUAAGGCAUUUCAUGGUCUGUCACUAAGGUCAAUACAUUUCCAGAGAAAAGACCAUCAACAAGAAUUAUACAAUGAAUACUACAUGGUAAAAUUAAAACUCGCAGUGGGGAGGAAAGUUUAGGGCUUUCCUGAGGACCUAAUCAAAAAUAGAAAGUGCUUGACACCCUUUUCUCACAAAUGCAAGGCAUAUUUCUUCAUUUAUAUAUACAGUUGCAUAUUACAACAUAAGUUACUGGACAAAAAUCAUUAAACAAACCCAUGAUAUUCUAAAAUGCACAUUUCUUCUUCUGUAGAGUGGAUUGAAUAUAAAUAAAUAAUUUUUAAAAAGGCA